rnacentral:ribozyme from 1 species
UGCCCAGCAACUCCUUUUUCUACCUCCACGCGGUACCGGCCAGAAACUAUGAGCAACCUUAGGGAAGAUCGGGUAACCAACCCCGGUGGGAACUUUGGUCGUAGGCUGACAGGGAAGG